CCUGAUGUUCCGUCAUCAGUAGCCUACCGGCACAUGCAGGACGGGUAACCGAUCUGUGUGAAGCUGCCGGGACAACGUAGCCGCCGGAUUUCCGGUACAUCGGAACCGUGAGGUCAGAUGAUAUCUGCAAGCAUCAUGCGGAUACG
rnacentral:ncRNA from 1 species